rnacentral:lncRNA from 1 species
UCCAAAAAGACAACUGCGCAAAAGUAUGUCAGCCUUGGUUAAGUAAACAGUGCCGCCCAUCCCGACGAUUAUCUCUCAGAAAAAAGUCAUGUAUGAAUUAUUCGUAGUCGAGCUUGUAGAUUUUUGGGUUGAUUCCAUCACAGCAGGACGGACGCAAGAUAAAUAAACUUUGGCAGAACAAUGCCAAGGUGUGAAUCGUCUAUAUUUUUUAUCAAGCAAUUUACACCUCCCUCAAUCUUUCCGAAGUCUAAGGAGUCUAUUGGACCGACAGGAAAAACUGACAAUCAAUUAAAAACUCAAAAUUUUAACGUAGAGCGACUGAAGCGGACGCUAGUUCCAGCCUCUCUAGACAAUUCAGAUAGUUUCGAUGGUCCUGAUAUUCCUCGCACUGAGAGGUUCUUGUGGAUGUCUCUGGUAUGGCUGAUAUACAGUUUGACGGUGGUGACGAUCAUCAACUUGGUUUACGAGUGGCUUACUUCAAAGGCCCGAUUCACGAUUCAGAGCAGACCGGUAAACGUCUACGAGAUUCCGUUCCCUGCGUUGACAUUCUGCAGCACGAAUCAGUUUCGACCAUCGGCUGUUAACCUCACUUUACUCCAUAGGAAGGCCCUCAUGCGCCAGGCUUUGUCACCUGAGGAGUGAGUCUUGUUCAUCUAUCAUCAGUAAAUUUUGUUUGUUGCAGACGCGAUGAAAAGGAACGGUUUCCGAGUGACAUUUUUCAACAGAAAAAACGUGAUAUUGUUCGAUUAAGUUGCGAUUUUUUUACGAAUCACUAACAGCUGAGCGAUAUAUCUUCAAUCUUGUCGCAAUUCAUUUUUAUAAAAUUGAAAUUUUAUAAAAAUUUAGCACGAUUUUUCGUUUGAUGAUAUUGCGAAAAAUCGCCAUCCAUAAAAUCGCAACUAUAUUGCAAAUUUAUGCGAUGAAUUCGCAAUUUAUCACAAUUUUUUAACCGAUAAUAUUGCAAUAAAUUGAAGUCGGUAAAAUCGCGAUAUAUUCUCCUUAUCACGAUCUAACUUAUCUCGAUCAUUGCUACUUACGAGGGUGGUAGUAAAUGCUUGAAAGGAGGGAGAAACCCGGAUCGAAGUUCUCUAAAAACGAAUGGCAUAUUAGUCAGGUGAAUCCGAAAACAUGCUUCGAGAAAGUUUGGAGAAAUGGAUCUAUUCGCAAAUGUCUAUGAAGUGUAAAAUGGGGUAAACCCGAAUGGAACUUUCGAAAGUGAAAUAAUGACGAACAUAUUUAACACUUUAACUCUUCACGUUAACUCCUUCUUCUGAAAUUUUUGUGAAAAAUAAUGGAUGUAUUGCUAUUCUCUCUAUCGCUAUUCUCUGAGCUGUCCUUCUGUUUUAGGAUUUCAUUACUGGAUUUGUCGAAUAACGUGUGUUUUAGCGACACCAAUGUAGAGGAAUCAUUCAUAGAUGACAAAGUCAUUAAUUAUAUGAUUCAGGUGAAUAUCAAUAUAUUAGAAAUUUAGCAUGUAAACUGUAAUAACUGCAUGUAGUGACUGAUUUUCCGAUUAAAAAUUUUACGGAAAACUUAAAAAGAUGUGGUAAUCAUUUUUUUAAGGUUUGAAAUCAGAACCUUCGAACAUAUGACUACCUAAAAUGACUGUAUUAAAAUGAACGGGAAAAGUUUUUGUCAAUGAGCUGAGAAUUAUCACAAAGUAUCUGGAAUUUUAUUGGAGACCCCCAAUGAUGGUCGAAGAAAUUCCUAACGUAACAUUACGUAACUUUGCGUACUUAAAAACUGAAUCUCAAUAGCCCAUUGAGAUUAAUUGUAUAAAUUGAACAGAAUCAUAUUAGAAAUUUUUAAUCAGCGGAUUUUUUUUAUCAGUACUGGCUCCUGUUUUGAACGCAUGCCGAACAAUAAACAUUGGCUUGGUGUACUUUGCAAUAUAUUGAUGGAUCUGUCACUUAUACCUUUGGAAAAGGAUCGAUAAACAAGGUAUUCGCAACAAACACCUUAAUAAUCGAUUCUCUACCAUAGCUUCAAAUGGGGGAAAUAUCGAUAAUCGAUCAUUCACGCCUUGUAAUUAAUAAUAAAGCAUUCUAAUAUCAAGACGAGAAAGAAGGUCAGUAUCUGAACUCUAUGUGGAAGGAGUCCUUAACUCUGAAGAUGCUACUCUAGUGAUGGUCCAUCAUUUGUUUAUGGUCAAACGGCUAUAGAUUUACUUUACUUUACUUUACUAGCGGCGCUACAGCCCUGGGUGGGCUUUGGCCUCCAUAACAAUUCCUCUCCACAUCCCUCUAUCUUUGAUUUUUUUCACUCCAUCCUUUUAUUCGCAUUUUCUUCAGGUCUCGCUCAACUCCGUCUAGCCACCGAAGCCCAGGUCUUCCUCUCUUCUUGCUGACAGUAUUUUAGCUUUCAGCACCUUCUUCGGCAUCCUUUCUUCUUCCAUUCUUUGUACAUGGCCCAGCCAGCUUAUCCUUUGCGAUUUGAUAAACCUUACAAUAUCUUCAUUUUCUAAGAUCAUUUCUAUUUCUUCAUUGCUUCUAAUUCGCCAAAACGGCUAUAGAUUAAGAUCGUCUAUUUUUCGAUCAUUUUUUUCUCUCCAGAAAGUUUCACAAAAUGCGCUGACGUCUUUAAAGGUGUCUGGUGGAGAGAUGAGUUCAUUGGAAACGCUUGCGACUACAUGCAAACUGUCUUUACACCUUAUGGACUUUGCUUCACUUUCAACCCUUUGCCGAUGACGUCUCUCUACUCAAAACAUGCAAUACCAUUGUACGAACUUUUCAACUCCAUCUAAAAUACAUCAUGAUAUGCACACAAAACAAGUUUUGGGUAUAAUGACAGAAGUUCAGUUCACGUGGAAAACUAAAUUUUAGUAGGGGUAACCGAGGUUUUCAGCCCUAGAAACCUAACUUCAGAUAAGUUGACUGAGGAUUUUCGUAAAGGAGACGACUUUUUGCGGCUAACAAAAACUUCUGUUGCCUGACUUAAAAAGUUAGUUUCUCAUGACUGAAAAUCUCAGUAGACUAGACUGAAAAUUCCUGUGUUUCAUAUGAGCUAAAGAUUUUUUUCUCCCGCCGUGAAUCGCCUUUUCAAGAAUGCCCAUUCAAAAUUGUUAAAUGUGGAUAUUAAAGUACGAGGAAGAAAAUUUGA